CCCCUGCAUGGCGCUAUCUGCAGUCGAGCGAACAGAUAGGAGCUUGCUCCUUUGACGUUAGCGGCGGACGGGUGAGUAACACGUGGGUAACCUACCUAUAAGACUGGAAUAACUCCGGGAAACCGGGGCUAAUGCCGGAUAACAUUUAGAACCGCAUGGUUCUAAAGUGAAAGAUGGUUUUGCUAUCACUUAUAGAUGGACCCGCGCCGUAUUAGCUAGUUGGUAAGGUAACGGCUUACCAAGGCAACGAUACGUAGCCGACCUGAGAGGGUGAUCGGCCACACUGGAACUGAGACACGGUCCAGACUCCUACGGGAGGCAGCAGUAGGGAAUCUUCCGCAAUGGGCGAAAGCCUGACGGAGCAACGCCGCGUGAGUGAUGAAGGUCUUCGGAUCGUAAAACUCUGUUAUUAGGGAAGAACAAAUGUGUAAGUAACUGUGCACGUCUUGACGGUACCUAAUCAGAAAGCCACGGCUAACUACGUGCCAGCAGCCGCGGUAAUACGUAGGUGGCAAGCGUUAUCCGGAAUUAUUGGGCGUAAAGCGCGCGUAGGCGGUUUCUUAAGUCUGAUGUGAAAGCCCACGGCUCAACCGUGGAGGGUCAUUGGAAACUGGGAAACUUGAGUGCAGAAGAGGAAAGUGGAAUUCCAUGUGUAGCGGUGAAAUGCGCAGAGAUAUGGAGGAACACCAGUGGCGAAGGCGACUUUCUGGUCUGUAACUGACGCUGAUGUGCGAAAGCGUGGGGAUCAAACAGGAUUAGAUACCCUGGUAGUCCACGCCGUAAACGAUGAGUGCUAAGUGUUAGGGGGUUUCCGCCCCUUAGUGCUGCAGCUAACGCAUUAAGCACUCCGCC
rnacentral:rRNA from 1 species